rnacentral:rRNA from 1 species
AGCAGCCGCGGUAAUUCCAGCUCCAAUAGCGUAUAUUAAAGUUGUUGCAGUUAAAAAGCUCGUAGUUGAAUUUCGGGGUUAGUAGGUUGGUCAUGCCUCUGGUAUGUACUGGUCUCACUGAUUCCUCCUUCCUGAUGAACUGUAAUGCCAUUAAUUUGGUGUUGCAGGGAAUCUGGACUGUUACUUUGAAAAAAUUAGAGUGUUUAAAGCAGGCUAACGCUUGAAUACAUUAGCAUGGAAUAAUGAAAUAGGACGUUCGAUCCUAUUUUGUUGGUUUCUAGGAUUGACGUAAUGAUUAAUAGGGAUAGUUGGGGGCAUUAGUAUUCAAUUGUCAGAGGUGAAAUUCUUGGAUUUAUUGAAGACUAACUACUGCGAAAGCAUUUGCCAAGGAUGUUUUCAUUAAUCAAGAACGAAAGUUAGGGGAUCGAAGACGAUCAGAUACCGUCGUAGUCUUAACCAUAAACUAUGCCGACUAGGGAUCGGAUGAUGUUAAUUUUUUAAUGACUCA